GACGAACGCUGGAGGCGUGCCUAAUACAUGCAAGUAGGACGCAGUUGCGAACGGGUGAGUAACGCGUAGGUACCUACCUAGUAGAGAGGGAGAACUAUUGGAAACGAUAGCUAAUACCGCAUACUAGUAGAUGGAACUGGGUGGUGUUAGCUAGUCGGUAGGUGAAUGGCCUACCUAGGCAACGGUACAUAGCCGACCUGAGAGGGUGAUCGGCCACACUGGGACUGCGACACGGCCCAGACUCCUACUGGGGGCAGCAGUAGGGAAUCGUCGGCAAUGGGGGGAACCCUGACCGAGCAACGCCGCGUGAGUGAAGAAGGUUGUCGGAUCGUAAAGCUCGUUUGUUAAGGAAGCGGUACUUAACCAGAAAGGGACGGCUAACUACGUGCCAGCAGCCGCUGUAAUUC
rnacentral:rRNA from 1 species